UAUAUGCUCCUGUUUUAUGUUUUUAACACAUGCUGUUGCAAUUUAGAGUUAAAUGUGUAUCUACUCAUUCAUCUGGAAAACUUUCAUUUUAGAGGUUGGGUCAGAAAGUUUACUUCCAUGACUAAUAAUAAUUCCAUGUCAACGAAGCCUUCUGAAAAGUGUUCAGUGUCUUAGCUUGUUUAUAAGGAAAGAGUGUAAUACGCCGAGUGAAAAUUGUAUGUUGUCUUCAUUCCCACAGUGGGAGACUCUGCCAGCCCAAGUACAACAGCAGAUUGUCAAUGUGGACACAAUUUAGAAUGGCAAAUCUGAACGGCGUGCUGGUGUUUUGCUUGAGUGGGACUUGCACAGGCGACUUACUGGUGGAGGUCUAAGGGAUGAGCGGAGCUCAGAAGUUGUGCUAAAGACCGAGCCAAGGUGGCAGGGGUGAAAUUACGUUUGAUGGAAGAAUACUUAUGGUUGAGAAGAUUUUCCUGUAAUUAUGUGCGUCUCACAAGUUGCUAUAGAGAAAGGGUAUAAAGACAGAGAGUGGAAAAGGAAGAGAUGGCAACAGAGGGGAAAAUGGGAGUCAAAUCAGCUGGCAGGGCCUGAACAACUUCUUGCACAGCUGGGACAUCCUAUUGCAGAUUCUAUGAGGAACUGCUGAAGUAUCAGUGUUGCACACUGGGAAGUGCAGA